UACAUAGGAUGCAAGCGUUGUCCGGAAUUAUUGGGCGUAAAGAGCUCGUAGGUCGUUUGCCGCGUCAAUGGUGAAAAUCUGAGGCUCAACCUCAGACCUGCCGUCGAUACGGCCAAACUAGAGUGUGGUAGAGGAGACUGGAAUUCCUGGUGUAGCGGUGAAAUGCGCAGAUAUCACGAGGAACACCAAUGGCGAAGGCAGGUCUCUGGGCCAUAACUGACACUGAGGAGCGAAAGCGCGGGGAGCGAACAGGAUUAGAUACCCUGGUAGUCCGCGCCGUAAACGAUGGUCACUAGCUGUGAGAGCCUUCCACGGUUCUCGCGACGCAACAAACGCAUUAAGUGCCCCGCCUGGGGAGUACGAUCGCAAGAUUAAACCUCAAAGGAAUUGACGGCGCCCCGCACAAGCAGCGCAGCAUGCGGAUUAAUUUGACGCACCGCGAAGAACCUUACCAAGGCAAGACAUAUAGCGAAAAGUGGCAGAGAUGUCAUGUCCGCAAGGGCGCUACACAGGUGGUCCAUGGUUGUCCUCAGCUCGUGUCGUGAGAUGCUGGGUUAAGUCCCGCACCGAGCCCAACCCUCUUUCUGUGUUCCCAGCAUUCAGUCGGGGACUCACAGGAGGCUGCCCGGGUCAACUCGGAGGAAGGUGGGGAAGGCGUCAAAUCCUCCUCCCCCUUAUGUCUCGGGCUGCCCCCAUGCUACCAUGGCCGGUACAAAGUGGUGCGAACUCGUAAGAUUGAGCGAAUCACAUAAAGCCGGUCUCAGUUCGGAUUGAGGUCUGCAACUCGACUUCAUGAAGUCGGAGUUGUUAGUAAUCGUAGAUCAGCCACGAUACGGUGAAUACGUUCCCGGGGCU
rnacentral:rRNA from 1 species